AUGCAAGUCGAACGCGAAAGUGGAGCAAUCCAUGAGUAGAGUGGCAAACGGGUGAGUAACACGUGGGUGACCUGCCUUCGAGCGGGGGAUAACGUCCCGAAAGGGACGCUAAUACCGCAUAACAUCCUGCCUUUGAAGAGGUGGAGAUCAAAGCUGGGGAUCGCAAGACCUAGCACUCGAAGAGGGGCCCGCGUCCGAUUAGCUAGUUGGUGAGGUAAUGGCUCACCAAGGCAACGAUCGGUAGCCGGCCUGAGAGGGCGGACGGCCACACUGGGACUGAGACACGGCCCAGACUCCUACGGGAGGCAGCAGUGGGGAAUUGUUCGCAAUGGGCGCAAGCCUGACGACGCAACGCCGCGUGGAGGAUGAAGAUCUUCGGGUCGUAAACUCCUUUCGAUCGAGACGAACGGCCCCGGGGUAAACAAUCCCGGGGAGUGACGGUACCGAGAGAAGAAGCCCCGGCUAACUCCGUGCCAGCAGCCGCGGUAAUACGGGGGGGGCAAGCGUUGUUCGGAAUUACUGGGCGUAAAGGGCUCGUAGGCGGCCAACUAAGUCAGACGUGAAAUCCCUCGGCUUAACCGGGGAACUGCGUCUGAUACUGGAUGGCUUGAGUUUGGGAGAGGGAUGCGGA
rnacentral:rRNA from 1 species